ACCGGCAUGGUGGCACAUGCCUGUAGUCCCAGCUACUCGGGAGGCUGAAGUGGGAGGAUCACCUGAGUCUAGGAGUUCUGGGCUAUAGUGCGCUAUGCCGAUCGGGUGUCUGCACUAAGUUUGGCCUCAAUAUAGUGAUCUCCUGGGAGCGGAGGACCACCAGGUUGCCUAAGGAGGGGUGAACCGGCCCAGGUCAGAAACGGAGCAGGUCAAAACGCCCAUACUGAUCAGUCGUGGGAUUGUGCCUGUGAAUAGCCACAGAACACCAGCCUGGGCAACAUAGCCAGCGAGACCCCAUCUCU
ensembl:misc_RNA Metazoa_SRP Metazoan signal recognition particle RNA